rnacentral:rRNA from 1 species
GUCGGCGACCAUACCAAGUUCUCGUUUGAUCACCUAAGUUAAGAAACGUUGGGUCCGGUUAGUACUUGCAUGAAUGACCGGCUGGGAAUACCUAGUGUUGCGGGCU